UGGGGGAUAUUGCACAAUGGGGGAAACCCUGAUGCAGCGACGCCGCGUGGAGGAAGAAGGUUUUCGGAUUGUAAACUCCUGUCGUUAGGGACGAAUCAUGACGGUACCUAACAAGAAAGCACCGGCUAACUACGUGCCAGCAGCCGCGGUAAAACGUAGGGUGCAAGCGUUGUCCGGAAUUACUGGGUGUAAAGGGAGCGCAGGCGGACCGGCAAGUUGGAAGUGAAAACCAUGGGCUCAACCCAUGAAUUGCUUUCAAAACUGCUGGCCUUGAGUAGUGCAGAGGUAGGUGGAAUUCCCGGUGUAGCGGUGGAAUGCGUAGAUAUCGGGAGGAACACCAGUGGCGAAGGCGACCUACUGGGCACCAACUGACGCUGAGGCUCGAAAGCAUGGGUAGCAAACAGGAUUAGAUACCC
rnacentral:rRNA from 1 species